rnacentral:rRNA from 1 species
AACGAACGCUGGCGGCAGGCCUAACACAUGCACGUCGAGCGAGGACUUCGGUCCUAGCGGCGGACGGGUGAGUAACGCGUGGGAACGUGCCCUUUGCUUCGGAAUAGCCCUGGGAAACUGGGAGUAAUACCGGAUGAGCCCUUUGGGGGAAAGAUUUAUCGGCGAAGGAUCGGCCCGCGUUGGAUUAGGUAGUUGGUGGGGUAAUGGCCUACCAAGCCGACGAUCCAUAGCUGGUUUGAGAGGAUGAUCAGCCACACUGGGACUGAGACACGGCCCAGACUCCUACGGGAGGCGGCAGGGGGGAAUCUUAGCCAAGGGGGAAACCCUGAUCUAGCCAUGCCGCGUGAGCGAUGAAGGCCUUAGGGUUGUAAAGCUCUUUCAGCUGGGAAGAUAAUGACGGUACCAGCAGAAGAAGCCCCGGCUAACUCCGUG